rnacentral:lncRNA from 1 species
GGGCGAUUUUAUUCAGCCACUUUAGAGAGUCUCAGAGUGUUUGUUACACUGUAACCUUGAUGGCUGAGAUGAGAAGGGUGUCCUUCAGACUUGGCUUACUAGUGUUUGUUUCUGAAAAUAAAAGGAAGAGGGUGGGGAAAAUGUGGCUGUAUAUAUACUUCCUGUAUGUGCGCAUAGUUAGAGAAUCUCUAGGGGGAUCCACAGGAACCUGACAGCUUCAGCUGCCUCUGGGAUGAGCGGUGGGGGUUACUUUUCACAGUUUAUGUUUUGUAUCUUUUGAAUUUUGUACCAUGUACAUGUAAUAUC